GUUGCUGGGCUCAGUGGUAGAGCGCUUGCCUUGCAUGCAUGAGCCCCUGGGUUCAAUUCCUCAGCACCA
rnacentral:tRNA from 1 species